GACGAACGCUGGCGGCGUGCUUAACACAUGCAAGUCGAACGGAAAGGCCCUGCUUUUGUGGGGUGCUCGAGUGGCGAACGGGUGAGUAACACGUGAGUAACCUGCCCUUGACUUUGGGAUAACUUCAGGAAACUGGGGCUAAUACCGGAUAGGAGCUCAUGCUGCAUGGUGGGGGUUGGAAAGUUUCGGCGGUUGGGGAUGGACUCGCGGCUUAUCAGCUUGUUGGUGGGGUAGUGGCUUACCAAGGCUUUGACGGGUAGCCGGCCUGAGAGGGUGACCGGCCACAUUGGGACUGAGAUACGGCCCAGACUCCUACGGGAGGCAGCAGUGGGGAAUAUUGCACAAUGGGCGGAAGCCUGAUGCAGCAACGCCGCGUGCGGGAUGACGGCCUUCGGGUUGUAAACCGCUUUCGCCUGUGACGAAGCGUGAGUGACGGUAAUGGGUAAAGAAGCACCGGCUAACUACGUG
rnacentral:rRNA from 1 species